ensembl:lncRNA
AUUCUUCACCUGAUCUCUGCUGAACCCACGGGUUUCUUCAGGAGACAGCAGCGCUUCCAUAAUUUACAACUGAGCACUCAGAGCAUCUGAUUCUGAUUUUCCCCACUGACGAGACCCCCGAUACUGAACUUAUUCUUGUGCAAAAGGUGCAAUAAGGACACCUUUCUUCGCUGAAGGAAGCUGAAGUGAGUGUUGAUGGAAAUACUGCUGAUAAAAAUGUGUAUUGAAAAUAGACAAGCGGAUGUUAAGUACAAAAAAGAAGAUACUUGGAUUUGAUGGCUGAGCAUGAAUGGCUGCAUACAGUUUUUUUUUUCAGGAGAAAGAACAGUCCAACUAGACAAGAGAACAAAGAAAAGUGGUCCCUGGGAUAAGUGAUCUUUUCCAAAGAGAAUUGACAUCUAUAGUGUUACCCCAGGCAUGUCCAACCUGUGGCGUAGCAGAGCUCACACUGCAACUGCCCCCUACUCUGCAUUGUAAAGGGAGAAGCUCUUUCCCACCGAGCAGCCCAGCCUGGCCCUGGACAUACACUCAUUGUUCAUGAUCUUCUCAUACCCUGGUAAGGAAAAGCAGCAAAAACAGAAGUCUUGCAAAUGCCUACAGCCAUGGUGACAAACUUAUGAAAACCAUCCAGAAAAGGAAAACAGAAAAUUCUUUGGCAACUCUCAUCAUUACAGUUCUAGUCUGCAUUAAACACCACAUAUUUUUGGAUAUAUGGAAGAGAGAAAGGUAGUAGCAGCUGAAAUGGUCAAAGCAGACCUCUGAGGAGAUGAUACUCAUCACAUGUCACUAUGACCUACAUCUUUGUCAACGCUGGAGAAAUGCGUUUACAAUUUUGCUAUGUGGAAUGUACAUUGAGAUGAAGAGAUAAAUGAGGAUGUAUUUAUGACAGUUUCUAACCUUUCUACUUUUCCAGACACAGAAAAGCAAUGUGAAUGCACCAUUUCAAUAAUCCCACAGUGUUCACAGAUUCAAUCAUUUGUAAAGUAUGAGUUGUGUAGCAGACAACCACCACUUCGGCACGUCACAUGGCUCACUGGCUACAGACAGCUGCUUUCCCUGUGUGUUUUCAAUAGAUUUCCUCUACUACACCUCCUGAAGUUACUUGAAAGAAUUUAAUAUUCUUACUUCCUCCUAGGUAAAUCACUUCUGUGUUUUUCCUCCUGGAGUUUAUUGUCUUUCUCUGCAUUGUGUUUAGAUCGAGGUCAAUGGUCCUGGGUUCUGUUUCCUCCCUAACAACCUCAGCCCCCCAUCUCCUUUCCAGUCAGGAAAACCCGUGUGAUGGUCAGCAGCAAUGUGAAGUGCAGAGAUUUCCUCAGUGCCUUCCCGCAGAGCCUGAGUCAGCAGUGCUCCUCAUGAGCCUCAGUGACCCAGCUCCCCAGCACCCUGGGGAAUACAGCUUUGUGCCUGCAGUCUCCUUCCAGAGAAAUCCAGUAAUUUCCAGUCCAAUUCUUAACAGAGCAUUAAGCACUAUUCUGGCAAAUCUGCUUCAUGUCUUAAACUGAGUUUCUGUCAAACUAUUGAAGUACUAUACAUAAAUGUUCAUAAGCCUAACCUUAGCUGAACGUCAAUCCAGACUGCAAUCAAAAUAUAAUUUUACAUUCAUUUAAUAAGUUAUUUGCUUUAAUGUUUUUGCUUGAUCAUCUCUCUAAACAAGUUUGGGUUGGCCCACUUUUCAAAAUAGUUUCUGUCAUCAAAAUAUGUCAUUCUCAUGCAGUUUUAAAAUAGUACUCCCUCCUUACCGUGCACAUAAAAUACUGCUCUAGAAGUAGGAAGAUUUAUUUUACAACUGCAAAUCUAAGCUUUCAAAACUGAGCAUUGAUUCUGAUUUCUGAUUAUCCAGUAUGAGCCAGUUUGCAGCUUCCAAAAAGUGGGCAUUCAGUUCUCUGAUAUCCUAUAGAGUUAUUGCAUCAGUAGUAUAUGAGCUUUGAUCAAUGGAAAUUUCUGAGUAUAAAAUCCACCCUGAAGCUGUUGCUUAAUGGACUUCAUUCUGAAAAUAAUUUAUUUCUGCAUUUCCUGGAGCUGUUUUUAAAAAGAUUUUUAUUUGUUUAUUGUGAUUUUUUUUUCUUUUUCCUAUUAUAAAACUUACUCCACAUCCCAGAUUAGAUUAAAAAAAAUGCCCCACAAGACAAAGUACACUCUCAUUAUCAGGCAGGGAGAUAUUAGUAGCUUCAGCUGUCCUUAGUAAAAAGUAAAGAGAAAUAAAAGGGUAGUGGCAGAAGGUAACUUUUAGUCAGCCUGAAAGCUCUACCCAAGACACUCAGGCCACAGCAAUCUCCUGCCUCUGAGGAUUCCUGAAGUUCAAGAUAUUUAAUGGUCCAUUUGUGAUAGAAAGGAAAGUCUGAGAUGCAGCGUAUGUCUGUACUAAAAAGCACACAAUUAAAGAACCAUUUCAGGCACCCCUGUGGAAAGCAUGAGAUGUGAAUAUUUCUCAAACAUAAGAACAAGACUGGUUGACAAGACAAGUGAAAUGUGGACAACUGCUGCAAGAGGUAGACAAUUCUCAUGCAGAGCUGAUCAGUGGAGAAUGUCUCUUUCCUUCUCCUCCUAGCACAACUUCUGCUGAAACAGACAAGAACAUCCUAGCUUCAAAGCUCCACUUCUAUUUACAGCCAUGUAAUUUACUCUGGAGCAGACAACCAAAAGGUAAACCAUUACCUGAGGAUACCUGCCUUCAAUUUCCUCAGUUAUGAUCGCAUCUUCAGUGGAACCGUCAUAUGGGAACAUUAUCCUACAGGGAACCUGCUUUAAGAGGGGGCCAUACAGUCUCAGCCCAGGUAGCAACUCCUGUGCCAUAGAGAAGAAGCUACAUCCCUGGCAAUGGGAUUUCCAGCAGCCAGAGGCCUCAGACAGUACACCCCUGCUGAAUAAAAUACCAAACAGAGAAACACACCUAGAAUCCCUCCUUUCUUUAAAGUGCAGAGCAUCUUAAAUGCAGCCAGUGCUAAUGUUACCAUUCACCUUAUCUACAGCCCAGAAUACAGAAGGCUUCUGCAGGAAACAGGCAACCAGGCAACAACCAGCUUUGAUAGUUCUUAUCUGAGGUGAAAGAUGUGGCUUUGAUCAUUUGAGUAGGAGCUCCAACACAGCUAACGGUUUCACUAUAAUCACAACCCAGGAUUCUGAACACAAGUGGCUGUAGCUGCUGGCUUCUGUGCUCAACCCACUGCUGCUCCCACAAACAGACCUACCAAACCCAGUCCUUAAGGAAAUGUCAACUCAGAAAGGCAUUUUGUGACUUCUAGUGAUGCUUUAGUGCCAGGACACUCAGUCUUGCCAAAAUGGUAUCACUUCUGAAUAAAGACAGUGCAAUGUAAGGAACUUACUGACGAAACUGUAUGCCUCUCCGGGCUUUCAGAAACCAUCAAGGUUAAAGUUGGCCUUAUGAGCUCCUAACCUAAACUGAAAUGUCAACAUCAGAAUCUCACUUUAGAAACUUGAUCCCUUUGUUUUGACCAGGACAGACAAGUCUGACUAUAGCCAAGAUCUGCACCUGUAUGGAUAGAUUAAACACCACCAAAUGCCUUUCCUGUUCAAAUGGUAGAACAUCACUGACACAGUUUUAGUAUAUACCAGUUAGCAUUCAAGAGAGUGCUAGGUUACAGCUAAUUCCUCACCACAGCUCAGGAGUAAGUAUAGGCCAGAGACUGCUCCCAGAAGUCAGAGGUUUGUCUGGUUUGAGUGUAGGAGAGUCCAGCAGUGUGGACACAGGUAAUUCAGAAAGCUUAAUUCACUAACAUGGCAGCAAGCUCUGGAUACAGAAAUUCUUUAGUGCCUCAGCAUAUUAUCUUCCACCAUUCUUCAAGACAGCAAAGGAAAGAGGAAAAAAAA